UAAAAUUAUUUUGAUUUAUUUCCAAAUGUGUGUUUUGCAUGCUGGUAUGAAAAUAGAAGCCAUUAAUUGUUGCAAGAACGGGAACAGACAUUUACUUUCUCACUUUUCAGUGACAUUAUUUGAAUCCUUUGUUGUCAAUUUGAAGGCGUUUACGCUGACUGACAGCAAGUUCGUCGAAGUGAAAAAAGUGUCAAAGAAAUUGAACUUAUAAAUGUUUCGGCCGAAGUAAUAAGGGAAACUAACGGAAGUUAAAGUUUCAUCAACGAUAUCUUUCUUCCUCGCUUCGGGCUUCGGGACAGUAUCCAAUCAAUAAAACAAAGAAUCAUAAACAGUUUCGUCAUAUAUCCCGGAUGGUUUUCAAAUAAUUGAGCGUUCACAAAGCCGUUACUGCAAUUUAGUCAUAAACUUCCAAAGAAUAUAACUCCGACGAAAGAGAGGUUUUCUUGCCUUGAAAGCUACCCACUGACUGUGAUUUUUAACAACAACGUCGGAAGUAGCCGUAAAUGCAUAUAUUAUAAUCAAGGCGGUUUGUGCAUUUAAGUCAAUCAAGCAGCUGAAGUCGUUUGGGAGUGUA